CGGGCCACCGCCCUUCCCCGCCCAAGGCAGCCCUGCGGGGUCUAAGUGGACGCGGGGCAGGCUCGGGCAGCCCCGGGACAGUGGAAAAGCGGCCCUCGGAUCGGCCGCCUACGUGUGACCUACCCGCCGCCGCCGCCGCGCCGGAGCUGGAGGGAGCCGUGAGGAGCCGGGUAAGGGCCGGAGCAGCCGGAGCCCGAGAGCGAGCCGAGGGGCGGGGCGCAGGGAGGCGCCGCUUCCUCGCCGCCCUCUUGAGGCCCGGCGCGAGGGCAGAGCACCGCCCCUACCCAGCGGGCGCCGCCGUCGAGGCCAAUAGGCGCGGGGCUAGGGCGGGCUGAGGACCGCCGCGAGCCAAUGGCAGCUGGCCUAGGCUCUUUGACCGCUCCCGGACGCGCCACGAGCGCGGGCCGUUGGGGGCAAGGCUCGUGGAGUGUGGACCGCUGCGCUCCAGCUCGCGGAAGCCGGGCGCACAGCGGAUUGACCCGCUGCCCCCGCUGUUCUGUAAGGCUGAUUCCCUUCAGAGCUUGGGCGUCUGGAGCGGGGAGGGUGGGAGCGCGGGGCCACGGGCCGGGCUGCUCUCAGGCCGCCUGCGGCUCUGUGAUGUAACCUGGCGCAGCUGCUCGCUGGGAGGAGCCAGGGGACCAGGCAGCUGGGGCAGCACCAGGGGUCGCUGCCACGAGCCGCCCUUGAAACGUGGCUGGUCCAAACUGAGAUGUGCGGGCCUGCUGGAAUACUACAGGAUAUUCUUUAGCAUCAUUGCCGGAGUUCCUGCCUUCAUCCCAGUGCCAGUGAGGACGAGGGUGGAAGGAUUUCCAGUGUUGCUGAAAACCGGACAAAACUUCGGCUGAAAACCGGACGAGACUUCAGAUCAAGCUAGCUGCCUGCAGAACUUACCUGAACUGUGAUUUAAGCUAGCUGCUUGCAGAACUUACCUGGACUGUGAACUUACCUGGACUGUGAUUUACCUGGACUGUGAGUUAAUCUAUUGAGACACUUCUUUACCUGGACUGAGACAACAAACUGUAAUCUACAACAAAUUGUAACUCGGUAUCUUUGCUAAAGGUGUCAUUGCUGGUAUAAUUUUUCCAAGGGCUUCUUGCAUGGAGCCAUCAAUUGGCUUGAUAUUGUGGCAUUUUGUAUCCUCCCCUUCUGCUUGUAGCAGAUUAUUUAUGGUGUUUGUGUAAAAACCACUAUGGUCGUUAUUUAAAUUAAAUAAAAGGGGGAAAUGUUAGGGUCUGUAAACAAGUCAAGACAGCGCCUGGUUUUGCCAGAGGGAGUGGUUUGUGAAGUAACACCAGCGAGCCAUUAAGUGUGGAGAUUCCUUAUUGGUUGACUGCUGUAUCUAGUUUAUGUUAAUUAAGAUAAGCUGUGUGUAAUGUAUAUAUACCCCUCCGGUCCUACAAUAAAAGGCUCCCACUCCUGCUGUA